rnacentral:rRNA from 1 species
AACGCUGGCGGGCGUGCCUAAUACAUGCAAAGUCGAGCGGACAGAUGGGAGCUUGCUCCCUGAUGUUAGCGGCGGACGGGUGAGUAACACGUGGGUAACCUGCCUGUAAGACUGGGAUAACUCCGGGAAACCGGGGCUAAUAACCGGAUGGUUGUUUGAACCGCAUGGUUCAAACAUAAAAGGUGGCUUCGGCUACCACUUACAGAUGGACCCGCGGCGCAUUAGCUAGUUGGUGAGGUAAUGGCUCACCAAGGCAACGAUGCGUAGCCGACCUGAGAGGGUGAUCGGCCACACUGGGACUGAGACACGGCCCAGACUCCUACGGGAGGCAGCAGUAGGGAAUCUUCCGCAAUGGACGAAAGUCUGACGGAGCAACGCCGCGUGAGUGAUGAAGGUUUUCGGAUCGUAAAGCUCUGUUGUUAGGGAAGAACAAGUACCGUUCGAAUAGGGCGGUACCUUGACGGUACCUAACCAGAAAGCCACGGCUAACUACGUGCCAGCAGCCGCGGUAAUACGUAGGUGGCAAGCGUUGUCCGGAAUUAUUGGGCGUAAAGGGCUCGCAGGCGGUUUCUUAAGUCUGAUGUGAAAGCCCCCGGCUCAACCGGGGAGGGUCAUUGGAAACUGGGGAACUUGAGUGCAGAAGAGGAGAGUGGAAUUCCACGUGUAGCGGUGAAAUGCGUAGAGAUGUGGAGGAACACCAGUGGCGAAGGCGACUCUCUGGUCUGUAACUGACGCUGAGGAGCGAAAGCGUGGGGAGCGAACAGGAUUAGAUACCCUGGUAGUCCACGCCGUAAACGAUGAGUGCUAAGUGUUAGGGGGUUUCCGCCC